rnacentral:rRNA from 1 species
UACGUAGGGUGCAAGCGUUAAUCGGAAUUACUGGGCGUAAAGCGUGCGAAGGCGGUUUUGUAAGUCUGUCGUGAAAGCCCCGGGCUCAACCGGGGAAUUGCGAUGGAGACUGCAAGGCUUGAAUCUGGCAGAGGGGGGUAGAAUUCCACGUGUAGCAGUGAAAUGCGUAGAGAUGUGGAGGAACACCGAUGGCGAAGGCAGCCCCCUGGGUCAAGAUUGACGCUGAUGCACGAAAGCGUGGGGAGCAAACAGG